rnacentral:rRNA from 1 species
AGCGAACGCUGGCGGCAGGCCUAACGCAUGCAAGUCGAACGAAGUCUUCGGACUUAGUGGCGGACGGGUGAGUAACACGUGGGAACGUGCCUUUAGGUUCGGAAUAACUCAGGGAAACUUGUGCUAAUACCGAAUGUGCCCCUCGGGGGAAAGAUUUAUCGCCUUUAGAGCGGCCUGCGUCUGAUUAGCUAGUUGGUGAGGUAAAGGCUCACCAAGGCGACGAUCAGUAGCUGGUCUGAGAGGAUGAUCAGCCACAUUGGGACUGAGACACGGCCCAAACUCCUACGGGAGGCAGCAGUGGGGAAUCUUGCGCAAUGGGCGAAAGCCUGACGCAGCCAUGCCGCGUGGAUGAUGAAGGUCUUAGGAUUGUAAAAUUCUUUCACCGGGGACGAUAAUGACGGUACCCGGAGAAGAAGCCCCGGCUAACUUCGUGCCAGCAGCCGCCGUAAAAC